rnacentral:tRNA from 1 species
AAUUCAUAAAAAAUGAACACUUUGA